UUUCAUCUCACGCUUUACAGUCUCUCACACCUGAUUAUACAUCUUGUAGUAUUCACAAUACAACAUGAUGUGGACUAAUGGUGGAUCAAUGAUUCCAGGUCUAUUAUUAUUUCUUUUCAUUACAGAUGUGCGGUGUGAUUCUCAGGUGUCACAGGAGUCUGAUCUUCAGAUUACAGAAAACCAAGAUAUCACCCUGAACUGUUCUCACAAAAUAUCAACCUAUGACCUUCUGAUCUGGUACAAGCAAAUCCCUGGACACGGCCUAGAGAUCUAUGGUUAUGGUCUUACUGCAGUUACUAACCCAUAUCCAAGAUACUCAAUGACUAUAGACAGAAAAUCUCUGACUACACAGCUUCAUAUAAAGAAUGUGAAGGGGGAAGACGCAGCCGUGUAUUACUGUGCAGUGAGGGACACAGUGACAGUGACAGACUGCAGAUCUGUACAAGAACCACCCACCAAGCACAAAUAAAAUGGAUACUUUUCCUCUGAACAGGUUUUGAUAUACUGUAUCUCCCCCACUUGUUUAAAUGUCAUACUUGUGAACAUUUGAGAUUCUGAAAAUGGCAUGCAAAGCUAAAUGUUUUGCUUUAUGCCCUCUCUUUUUAUGUAGGAUAUACACUUACAUACUUAAUUUAAUCACAGAUAGUACAUGUGACACCAUCAUCGCUCCCCAAAAUUAAUAUAUAUCCCCCAAAUAAUACAGACCACAGACUACCUAACCAAAUAUAAACCCCAUACCCCCAAAAUAAAGACUACAGACUUGACUACCUUUUUAGAGACUUCAAAAACAGGCCCUCUAAAAAGUUGUAGAUCCUUAGUACAGACCCCAGGCAAGAUUUCCCCUUUAAUAGAGACAUCAGACAACAAUUUAAAUAGAGGCCAGAGGCUAUAAUCGGACCCUCCUAUGGCUUAUCCUAUGCAGCAGCUACUACAGUGACCCCCCGACCUACGAUGGCCCCGACAUACGAUAAUUUCAAAAUAUGAUGGCAUCUCAGAGGCCAUCGCAUGUUGAAGGCAGCAUCAACAUACAAUGCUUUUGUAUGUCGUGGCCAUUGCAUAAACGGCUAUUCAGCAGCACAGACUGCUUCAGCUGGCACUGGAUAGCCAUUUAAGGUGCCCUGUGUGGUCCGGUGAUGAUCACUCACCUGUUCCCAGCGCUCUGGACCGUUCUCUUCAGGAUCCCCUGCAUCGCCGUCGCUCUCCUUCGUCCUCAUCACGCCAACGCGCAUGACGUCCCGUCAUCCAAUAGGAGCGGCGUGUGCAGCGACGUGAUGACGGCGAUGAAGAGCGACGAUCCCAGGCAGCAGAGACGAUCCGGAGCGGUGGGGACAUGGCGACAUCAAUGGAGGGCGACAUCCAGGGCAGCAGUGAUGGUCCGGAGCGGCGGGGACAGGUGAGUACAGCUUCCUAUACUUUUCAUUGCACGGAUCCCUCAACAUACGAUCGUUUCAACUAACAAUGGUUCAUUUGGAAUGAAUUACCAUCGUAUGUUGAGGGACCACUGUAUACUCUUUGCACUCUAAAAGUAAAGUUUAAUCUGGGGUGGGAUUGACUUUUACAAAGGGAAUGUAUCAGCUGUUUAUACUUUUGUAUUUAAAAAUGAAAUACAUUUUUAUUUUUUUACAUAUUUUUUAAAGUGUUAUUUGUCAAUGUGUAAACGAAAAAAAAAAAAAUAACUAUAACAAACUGACAAACCUGAACUCUGCCCAUCACGCACAUUCAUAAAUCUAGAAUAGUGCAUGGUUGUGGUCUGGAGCUAUUUUAGGAGGAACAGUAUUUUGUGGCAACUAGUAUAGUAGGAAGCAUAUAUAGCCCUGUGUAUAUAUAAAGGAUUAAUGUUUAUGUGAUCUGUAUCUAUACAUAUAUGAAAUUCUAUAUCUAGGAACAGACAAGAACAAACAUGCCCAUUUUCAUGCCAA